rnacentral:lncRNA from 10 species
GAUAGAAGUUGGCUAUGUUGUUCCAUAAGCAUAUUUUCAACUCAGCACAAUGAAGACCAUUGUCCUAGAUGGCCUGCUGGGGAAAUGGAUUAUGUAAUUAUGAAGAGCUGAGAUUUAACACUUAUGCCAGUAUCUGCUGGCCAGGCUGGAGGGCAGUGGCAAUCAUAGCUCACUGUAGCCUUGAACUCCUGGGCUUAGGUGUUCUCCUGACUCAGUCUUCCAAGUAGCUGGAACUACAGGUGUGUGCCACCAUGCCUGGCUAAUUUUUUAAAUCUUUUGCAGAGAUAGGGUCUUGCUAUGUUGCCCAGACUGGUCUCCAACUCUUGGACUCAGACGAGGUUUUGCCAUGUUGCCCAAGCUGAUCUCGAACUUCUUGGCUCAAGUGAUCUGCCUGCCUUCCAAAGUGCUGGGAUUACAGGCAUGAGCCACCAAGCGCAGCCAUGAUUUAUUAGAUCACUUCUAAAAGCCCUCUCUCCAUCUCCAAGCCAGCAAGUGCUUCUUUGCACCCCAGCUCUAAAACAAAGCCCUUGGGGACACAAUCAAAGACAGUAGUUGCCAAGAGGAAUAGGGAGCAUGGAAAGAAGGUGCUGGAUGUGCAUACAGCUAACCUGGUAACUCCAAACUGGAUGAGCUCAUUCCUUGAGACUGGAAUUACAAAAUUGGAACAGCUCACUAAUAAUUGAAGAUGAUUUGGGAAAACCAUUAUCCUUCCUCAGGUUUUACAAGGUUUUUAUGACUCAUUUAUAAGGUCCUACAGCUAAAAAAAAUCAUGCUGUAUUUCAGAGAAGUUUAACUUGAAAAUAUUUUUUUCACUAAUUAAAAAUUCCCAUUAUACCUUAUAGUUGCAAUUGUAUCCUUAUUGCUGAAAGAUAUCCAUACUACCUACCACUUCUUUAAAAUUUAAAAAAUUCUAUAAAUAAAAAAUAUAACAAUUGCAAAUAUGUAAAUAACUUCCAACAUAAAACAAAAUUUAUAGUAAUUAUAAGAAGUUCUUUUAUACUAAAAAUUAAGUUGUAAUUAUGAUAGAAAUAAUCUGUAAAAGGUAUUUUUAGCAAAAUUUAUUAAUACGGGUAGCAAUAAUAAUACCCAAUUAUAUAUGCAUAUUGUUUGUAUUUUAGAACCUGUGACAAAUGAAAAUGGUUUUCCUAGAUAAGAACGAAACUGUGUUGGGUGGCUAACAAGAUUGAAACUCAUCUGACUUUGAGAAAUAAAUCAAUUUGGUUUGUUUAUUUACAAUCGUUAUUUUUCCUUUUACCAAUACCUAAGUUAUUUCACUGUAAAACUUUCAUAGAAGAAUUUCAGGAAAGGCUUGUAUUUACGUGUUAUAGAUGAGGUACACCACAGUGAUUUAGAUCAGCAGUCCCCAACCGUUUUGGCACCAGGGACCAGUUUCAUGGAAGACAAUUUUUCCACAGAUCAGGGGUGGGCAGAGUUUGGGGGAAUGGUUUCUGGAUGAUUCAAGCGGAUUACAUUUGUUGUGCACCAUAUUUCUAUUAUUAUUAUUGCAUUGUAAUAUGUAACAAAAUAGUUAUACAACUCCAUAAUGUAGACUCAGUGGGAGCCCUGAGCUUGUUUUCCUGCAACUAGACGGUCCCAUCUGAGGGUGAUGGGAGACAGUGACACCAAAGUGUGCUGCUUAUGUCCAGUCUACUUCGUAAUCUCAUUUUGAUUGCUGUCACUGCAGAAAACCCUGUAACAUUCUCAAAAUUCUAUUCUCUCUAGGGUAAAAUUAAACUGCGGGACAUAGCGCAGAAGACUUGUCACAAUUUAGGACCAACCUACCAAGACUUCUUGAUCUCUUUCCACUUCUUGCCCCUCACUGUGUUUGAUUUCUGCCUUCCAGUCUGAACUUCUCACUAUAUUCCAGAAAAGGCCUGUUAAAGAGAUCUGGUAGUCAAAAGCAACCUCUUUUUUGCUUGUGCUCUCUGUUAUACAUAAGAAACCAGUCCUGCUGCAGCUCCAUAUUUGCAUUACUAAUUUAAUCAGUUAGCGGGACACAUGCUCUUUAUAACCCAAAAAAUUGAAGCAUGAAAUUUGGGAGUCAUACCCAUCACCCAAAUGUGGCAUAACAAUGUUCUUCUUCCCCGCAAAGCAGUGUCCUUCCCCAAAGAAAUUCUGGGGAUUGGCAUUUUCUUCAUCCACUCCUUUCAUUAUUUCCUUUACCUAUUUCUCUGAGUCUAUUAGCAUCCUUGGAGGGGGGAAUGUAUCUUAUUUAUUGUUAUAUCUCCCAGGCUCACACAUCACUCAAUAAAGGUUUGUUGAAUGAAACAAUAAAUGGAUGCAAGACUAAAUGAACAAAGAAAAGCCACGGGGAAGAUAACAAUGUUAUGUCAUAAUUCAGGAUCAUCUUUUUCUGUUUUUUCCCCUCCAGCUUUAUUGAGGUAUAAUUGACAAAUAAAAAUUAUAUAUAUUCAAGGUGUCCAACAAGAUGUUUUGAUAUACAUAUACAUUGUGAAAUGAUUACCACAAUCAAACUAAUUAGCAUGUCCAUUACCUCACAUAAUUACCUUUUUUAUGUGUGCUGAGAAUACUUAAGAUUUGCUUUCUUAGCAAAUUUUAAGUAUACAAUACAUUAUGAUUAACUAUAGUCAUCAUACUUUACAGUAAGUCUCCAGAACUUACUUCAUCUGCAGGUUUGUACUCUGACCAACAUCAUCUUAUUUCACUCCCCACCCCACUUUCAGCACUGGUAACCACAUUUCUAUUCUAAGCCUUCUGGUGAAAUUUCUUUCUUAUUUCACUCCCAGUGAGUAACACAAGAGAAAAAUAAACAACAAAAGCCAGUCAAUAAUUAUAAAGUGAAUCUUACCAGUAUAGAGUUAUAAGCCUUGUUUUUACUUCACUGAUAAUGUUGUCGUGAACACUGUUUGAAUAAUGAAGACUAAAGGAAUGAUGGCAUGCACUGUGAGUUCUUGAUGUGGUUGAAGCAAAAUUCCCAACAAACAGACAUUUUGCUAUUUCAUUAGUGUUUAUGGCUGAU